rnacentral:rRNA from 1 species
CUGGCGGCAGGCCUAACACAUGCAAGUCGAACGGUAACAGGAAGAAGCUUGCUUCUUUGCUGACGAGUGGCGGACGGGUGAGUAAUGUCUGGGAAACUGCCUGAUGGAGGGGGAUAACUACUGGAAACGGUAGCUAAUACCGCAUAACGUCGCAAGACCAAAGAGGGGGACCUUCGGGCCUCUUGCCAUCGGAUGUGCCCAGAUGGGAUUAGCUAGUAGGUGGGGUAACGGCUCACCUAGGCGACGAUCCCUAGCUGGUCUGAGAGGAUGACCAGCCACACUGGAACUGAGACACGGUCCAGACUCCUACGGGAGGCAGCAGUGGGGAAUAUUGCACAAUGGGCGCAAGCCUGAUGCAGCCAUGCCGCGUGUAUGAAGAAGGCCUUCGGGUUGUAAAGUACUUUCAGCGGGGAGGAAGGGAGUAAAGUUAAUACCUUUGCUCAUUGACGUUACCCGCAGAAGAAGCACCGGCUAACUCCGUGCCAGCAGCCGCGGUAAUACGGAGGGUGCAAGCGUUAAUCGGAAUUACUGGGCGUAAAGCGCACGCAGGCGGUUUGUUAAGUCAGAUGUGAAAUCCCCGGGCUCAACCUGGGAACUGCAUCUGAUACUGGCAAGCUUGAGUCUCGUAGAGGGGGGUAGAAUUCCAGGUGUACCGGUGAAAUGCGUAGAGAUCUGGAGGAAUACCGGUGGCGAAGGCGGCCCCCUGGACGAAGACUGACGCUCAGGUGCGAAAGCGUGGAGAGCAAACAGGAUUAGAUACCCUGGUAGUCCACGCCGUAAACGAUGUCGACUUGGAGGUUGUGCCCUUGAGGCGUGGCUUCCGGAGCUAACGCGUUAAGUCGACCGCCUGGGGAGUACGGCCGCAAGGUUAAAACUCAAAUGAAUUGACGGGGGCCCGCACAAGCGGUGGAGCAUGUGGUUUAAUUCGAUGCAACGCGAAGAACCUUACCUGGUCUUGACAUCCACGGAAGUUUUCAGAGAUGAGAAUGUGCCUUCGGGAACCGUGAGACAGGUGCUGCAUGGCUGUCGUCAGCUCGUGUUGUGAAAUGUUGGGUUAAGUCCCGCAACGAGCGCAACCCUUAUCCUUUGUUGCCAGCGGUCCGGCCGGGAACUCAAAGGAGACUGCCAGUGAUAAACUGGAGGAAGGUGGGGAUGACGUCAAGUCAUCAUGGCCCUUACGACCAGGGCUACACACGUGCUACAAUGGCGCAUACAAAGAGAAGCGACCUCGCGAGAGCAAGCGGACCUCAUAAAGUGCGUCGUAGUCCGGAUUGGAGUCUGCAACUCGACUCCAUGAAGUCGGAAUCGCUAGUAAUCGUGGAUCAGAAUGCCACGGUGAAUACGUUCCCGGGCCUUGUACACACCGCCCGUCACACCAUGGGAGUGGGUUGCAAAAGAAGUAAGUAGCUUAACCUUCGGGAGGGCGCUUACCACUUUGUGCCUC